CCGGCUAGCUCAGUCAGUAGAGCAUGAGACUCUUAAUCUCAGGGUCGUGGGUUCAUGCCCCACGUUGG
rnacentral:tRNA from 1 species